rnacentral:rRNA from 1 species
GCACAAGCGGUGGAUGAUGUGGAUUAAUUCGAUGCAACGCGAAAACCUUACCUACCCUUGACAUGUCCGGAAUCCCGAAGAGAUUUGGGAGUGCUCGCAAGAGAACCGGAACACAGGUGCUGCAUGGCUGUCGUCAGCUCGCGUCGUGAGAUGUUGGGUUAAGUCCCACAACGAGCGCAACCCUUGUCAUUAGUUGCCAUCAUUUGGUUGGGCACUCUAAUGAGACUGCCGGUGACAAACCGGAGGAAGGUGGGGAUGACGUCAAGUCCUCAUGGCCCUUAUGGGUAGGGCUUCACACGUCAUACAAUGGUCGGUACAGAGGGUUGCCAACCCGCGAGGGGGAGCUAAUCCCACAAAGCCGAUCGUAGUCCGGAUCGCAGUCUGCAACUCGACUGCGUGAAGUCGGAAUCGCUAGUAAUCGUGGAUCAGCAUGUCACGGUGAAUACGUUCCCGGGUCUU